GGUGGCAGUCCUAUGCUGUUCAUAAUAAAAGUGAAGCUUAGAGAUGUCACAAGUUACCCACAGUCACACAGGUUUAAUGGGAAAGCUGCUGGUGCCUCUUAGUUGUGGUCAAUUCCAAAUGCUAAAGUAUAAAAGCUCUAUCAUACUGUAUACCAUGUCUUAAGAUCAUAAAAUAGAAAACUACACUUUGCUUUCCUUGGGGCCCUAAGAGCUGAAAGAAUUUGUGUAGGAAAACAGAUUAAAGCAGUGCAUUAGCAAAAUCAAAGAAAAACCGGAAUGAUAGAAGCAGAGGAGGAAAAAAUACAUACUCCUAGAAAAGAAGAAACAAACUUGAUCAAGCAUAAAUUUGCUAAUGCUUCACACCCAUAAAUUUAAAAUAAGUCAAAACCCAAAUUUAAUCUCAUCACUCUACAGCUGGACCACAUGACAGGGUUUAAAAGCUGUGUGACAGACCUAGAUAUCCACAUUGUUGUAGGAGGGCAUGGGCCAGUGUUUGGUUCUUCUAGAGAGCCAGCUUCACCUGCUAACUCCAUUCUCAAGCAAAACCUUCUCUUUAUAUCUAAAACAAAUGUUCAUGUGUCCUAGGAGAAAAAAGUUUUUUGUCGAGGUGAAGGGAUAAGACUCAGAACAGGGAAUUUGCCUUGGAAUUUGCAAAUUUCAUCCUUGGAUCAUGUCAAAGAAGAAAAAAGUAAAUGUGGAGUGAUGAAGAGGGAUAUUCUUCCUUGCUAAGAAGACAGAAAUAGCUUGAACUAAUUAUAUUAACCUAAAAAAGAGUCAUUUGUUUGGGAAGCAAUCUGAUUCUUUUGGAAAAUCUUUGAAAGCCUUUGUUGUUGGAUUAAGAAGCAAAAAGUUGCUUAUUCUUGAGUCUAUACAUCCAAAGUGAACUGGAACAUUAUGGCAACUAUCUGAAUUAGAAGUUCUGAAAGUAUGGUAAUCUGGCUAACAUCAUCAUCGCCACCUGGACACAGGCCUUCACACUCAGAAGGUCCUCAGACUUGGUUUAAUACUGUUGCCAUCUUAAAAUUCUUAAUAAUUUUGUCUUUGUAAGUAAUAUUCAGUGGGAUACUGGGACAUUGAUGGGCCUCAUGAGUGUGAGCAGAGGUACAUGCACCAAGCACACCCGUCAUUCUUGCUGCCCAUUCAAAGAGACCAUUCCUGAUGUGACAUAAGCACAGAGUGUCAGGGGCCUCACAUGCAGAAAGUUCAGUGAGCUUCAAAGCAGGUGUAAGGUAAGCAUGUUACUUCUACAAAUGAACAGACUCAGGAUAGAGAAGGAACUGGAGAGGGUGCUGACAGCCAGAGGUCACACUUACAUUUGAACCAGGACUUUCUUUCAGUGCAGAAAGAUGGCAGUGGCAUCCUAAGAAACAUGAACCACCAAGGGAGAUCAUCACAGCCUUUCUCACUUGUGCAUUAGCCAACUACCCUACUCAGAGGAUGACAGGGAAAUACAGGGCAAGCUGUGGUUUUCUUUUCAGUAGCUCUUUACUCCUCAGUAAGUCAGAGGUUGAGAAAUUUGGUAAAAUGUUUGUAGAUCAAGAAAUGAAAUUAAAAUUGAGUCAGUUUUGUUCAGCAAUUCCAGUCUUCUCACAAGAAAGGAGUACAUUCAUAGUCAUGCAUUUCUUAAAGCCAGGGAUAAGUUCUGAGGAAGGAGUUGUCAGGUGACUUUGUCUUUGUGCAAACAUCAUAGAAUAUUCUUACACAAACCUCCAUGGGACUCUUCAGUCACUAGAUGAGGCCUCUUGACGCAAGUGAGAAAC
ensembl:lncRNA